rnacentral:rRNA from 1 species
GACGUAGGGCGCGAGCGUUGUCCGGAUUUAUUGGGCGUAAAGAGCUCGUAGGCGGCUUGUCGCGUCGACUGUGAAAACCCGCGGCUCAACCCCGAGCCUGCAGUCGAUACGGGCAGACUAGAGUGCGGUAGGGGAGACUGGAAUUCCUGGUGUAGCGGUGAAAUGCGCAGAUAUCAGGAGGAACACCGGUGGCGAAGGCGGGUCUCUGGGCCGUAACUGACGCUGAGGAGCGAAAGCGUGGGGAGCAAACAGG